CCCUAUACCUACACUCGCUUUCUGCCUGAUCAGUUCAAAUCACUAUCUGAGAUGCUGACUGGUGUGGGGUCACAAGAUGCUGUGACAUUCUGGAAGAGGAGCACAAUGUCAUCACAAAGUGAUGACAAAGUAAUGACAUCACAGGGAGGUCAACACUCCCAUGAGUCCCUCAGACUUUGGUCCUUGCAGGUCUCUGUGUUUCCUCCUCUUUCCCCAGGGCUUCUCCAAGGACAUUUUCUGAAGCCUUUCCAUCUGCUGAGCCAAAGAGAUUGCUCAAGACCAGAUGUGGAGAGCCCUUGGCCCAGGGACCACAUCAUGGGGAGUGAGGAGAGGCUGGUUUGUGAGGGAUGAUGCUUCCGGUUCAAUGGAGCUCUGAAUAAGUCUGCAGAUGAACAAAGGCUAAACUGGAGUCGGUGGCCCUUUCUGACUUCAAGGAUCAUUCUAGCAGAUAGUGCCUUAUUUUUUUUUUUUUUUGACAGUUGUAGAGAAAAUAAAUUUUUGAAAACUAGUGAAGGGACUUUGUUUCCUUCCUGUGUCAGUUGAAGACAGGCUCCUGGCUACUUUAUACAGGGGAGAUCUCAUCAUGCCCCAAGCUCACAAGGAGAACUGAUGGGAACCAGACUCAUUUCCACCGUUCAGCAGGGUGAGCUGGAGUUUAUCACCUGCUUCCGACCAGCACCUGGAGCCCUACUGGGUGCUUUAGACUGGAGCCAGGAGGACAAGCAGCCAGAGAGAGUUUAUAGGAAAAGAAAACCACCUCAGAGACCAGAUACACAGGAGUGAUGUGGACAGGAGACUGGCAAUCAUCAGUCACCAGACAAGCCGUGGCCUUCUGGACUGGUCUCCCCUCCCACCUCUCUGGAGCCCACCGGCAGGACUAAUAUUUAAAAGCAUCUCUACAUCAAACUUCAUUCUGGACACUGAGGGCCCACCAGCUGGGAGUAGAACAAUCCUGUGCAUAAAACCUCCGUGGGUGUGUGGCCAACUCUAACUUCCCUGGCAUCAGUUUCCUCCUUGGAAACCGUGGAUGAUAGAAGAAGCUACCUCACUGGGAGAGGAUGGAAUGAGAUAAUUCAUCUAAGGCCCUUAGCACAAGACCUGCCAUCUAGGAGGUACUCCAUAAAUGCUGUGGUUAUUAACUUCAUGUUCACAAGAUGGAUUUUGCAGUAAAG
ensembl:lncRNA